rnacentral:rRNA from 1 species
CACGUAGGGUGCAAGCGUUGUCCGGAAUUAUUGGGCGUAAAGGGCUCGUAGGCGGUCCGUCACGUCGGGAGUGAAAACUCGGGGCUUAACCCCGAGCCUGCUUUCGAUACGGGCGGACUAGAGGUAGGUAGGGGAGAACGGAAUUCCUGGUGUAGCGGUGAAAUGCGCAGAUAUCAGGAGGAACACCGAUGGCGAAGGCAGGUCUCUGGGCCGAUACUGACGCUGAGGAGCGAAAGCGUGGGGAGCGAACAGG